UGUUUGUACAGAAAAAAAGGUGACAAAUUAGGAUUUCAUUAAACCAGAUUCCUAGAAUAGCUUGAGUUAGUCCACUUUGACGUAUACCUAUAUCGGCUUCGAUAGUCCAACUGGCCUGAAGGAUUUUAUCUAGCAGGUGCUUUUGUUCAGUAAAUAGGGCCAUUACCUUAUCAGUACCCUGGUAAUGGCCUCAACGCAUCUCACAGUUGCA